GGUUACGGAGGGACAGCGGGGGGGAGAAUGCGUAGGGGGUGGGCGUUGUCCGUAAUUUAGGGGCAGGAAGAGCUUGUAGGCUGUUUGUCGCGUCUGCGGUGAAAAUCCGGGGCUCAACCCCGUACUGGAAUUGGGUACGGGCAGACUAGAGUGGGGUAGGGGAGACUGGAAUGCCUGGUGUAGCGGUGAAAUGCGCAGAUAUCAGGAGGAACACCGAUGGCGAAGGCAGGUCUCUGGGCCACUACUGACGCUGAGAAGCGAAAGCAUGGGGAGCGAACAGGAUUAGAUACCCGGGUAGUC
rnacentral:rRNA from 1 species